AUUUAAAGGUCAAAUUUGGCUAGGGUUUGUUCUUUCUCAAUGAUUGAUGAUGAAAAUGAGUUUUUGAACUCAUAUACAUGUAUAUAUACACAUAUUCCCGUCCAUAAUAUAAUAGGAAAUGACCAAAAUGCCUUUAAAAUUUAAAUAAUGUCAAAUCUGUCCUUUGGUGGACUGUUUUGAUAAGCUAAAGUAGAUCGACCAUAACUCUUUUCUCCGAUAUCGGAUUUGGGUGAAAUUGGUAUCGUUGGAAGGAUAAUUCAAAGGAAUUUCAUUUCAUAUAAAGUAGGCCACCCAGUUCGUCCUGUACAAGGAGUUAUGGUCGUUUAAAGUUGACCCUAAAA
rnacentral:lncRNA from 1 species